UCUCCGUAGGUGAACCUGCGGAGGGAUCAUUACAAGUGACCCCGGUCUUACCACCGGGAUGUUCAUGACCCUUUGUUGUCCGACUCUGUUGCCUCCGGGGCGACCCUGCCUUCGGGCGGGGGCUCCGGGUGGACACUUCAAACUCUUGCGUAACUUUGCAGUCUGAGUAAACUUAAUUAAUAAAUUAAAACUUUUAACAACGGAUCUCUUGGUUCUG
rnacentral:misc_RNA from 1 species